rnacentral:rRNA from 1 species
GAUUGACCUCGGAUCAGGUAGGGAUACCCGCUGAACUUAAGCAUAUCAAUAAGCGGAGGAAAAGAAACCAACAGGGAUUGCCUCAGUAACGGCGAGUGAAGCGGCAACAGCUCAAAUUUGAAAUCUGGCCUUAAGCGGGGUCCGAAUUGUAAUUUGCAGAGGGCGUUUCGGGCGACGCGCCGGUCUAAGUCCCUUGGAACGGGGCGUCAUAGAGGGUGAGAAUCCCGUAUGUGACCGGCGACCGAGCCUGUGUGAAACCCCUUCGACGAGUCGAGUUGUUUGGGAAUGCAGCUCAAAGCGGGUGGUAAAUUUCAUCUAAAGCUAAAUACCGGCCAGAGACCGAUAGCGCACAAGUAGAGUGAUCGAAAGAUGAAAAGCACUUUGGAAAGAGAGUCAAAAAGUACGUGAAAUUGUUGAAAGGGAAGCGCUUGCAACCAGACCUGCCCGCGGGUGAUCAGCCGUCCUUCGGGGCGGUGCACUCACCCGCGAUCAGGCCAGCAUCGGUUCGGGCGGCCGGAUAAAGGCCUUGGGAACGUGGCUCCCCUCGGGGAGCGUUAUAGCCCAGGGUGCAAUGCGGCCCGCCCGGACCGAGGACCGCGCUUCGGCUAGGAUGCUGGCGUAAUGGUUGUAAGCGGCCCGUCUUGAAACACGGACCAAGGAGUCKACCWACCGUGCGAGUGUUUGGGCGUCAAACCCACACGCGCAAUGAAAGUGAACGGAGGUGGGAACCCCUCGCGGGGCGCACCAUCGACCGAUCCAGAUGUCUUCGGAUGGAUUUGAGUACGAGCAUGGCUGGUCGGACCCGAAAGAUGGUGAACUAUGCCUGGAUAGGGUGAAGCCAGAGGAAACUCUGGUGGAGGCUCGCAGCGGUUCUGACGUGCAAAUCGAUCGUCAAAUUUGGGCAUAGGGGCGAAAGACUAAUCGAACC